AAAUUGAAGAGUUUGAUCAUGGCUCAGAUUGAACGCUGGCGGCAGGCCUAACACAUGCAAGUCGAGCGGAAACGAGUUAUCUGAACCUUCGGGGAACGACAACGGCGUCGAGCGGCGGACGGGUGAGUAAUGCCUAGGAAAUUGCCCUGAUGUGGGGGAUAACCAUUGGAAACGAUGGCUAAUACCGCAUGAUGCCUACGGGCCAAAGAGGGGGACCUUCGG
rnacentral:rRNA from 1 species